CAUAGGUUGAGGAGGCGGUGACUGUGGCGGUGGAGGAGGAUGAGGUAGCCAACAAUGUCUUUUUUUUUUAUUGUGGUAGCCCACAAAAUAUUGGGACAUACAAAAAAAAUACAACUCUGUUCCGCAACUCUGUCAUCCAUAUCAACUUUCAAUACCAGUUUCUGCUCCUACCAUGGUGACCACGGGUAACAGGGAAUCAGGGUUCCAUUCCAUACAGGAACCCUGAGAAACGGCUAUCACAUGCAAGGAAGGCAGCAGGCGCGCAAAUGACCCACUCCCGACGCGGGAAGGUAGUGACG